UACGUAGGGGCAAGCGUUGUCCGGAAUUAUUGGGCGUAAAGAGCUUGUAGGCGGUUUGUCGCGUCUGCUGUGAAAAUCCGGGGCUCAACCCGGACUUGCAGUGGGUACGGGCAGACUAGAGUGUGGUAGGGGAGACUGGAAUUCCUGGUGUAGCGGUGAAAUGCGCAGAUAUCAGGAGGAACACCAAUGGCGAAGGCAGCUCGCUGGGACGGUACUGACGCUGAGACGCGAAGCGUGGGAGCAAACAGG
rnacentral:rRNA from 1 species